rnacentral:lncRNA from 10 species
GCCAGGGAACCAGAGAUCAGCCAGGUAGCCCAACGCCUUUUGUAAUUAUGCAAACUAGACAAUCACCAAUGGUUCACUCCAUCUGCCUUACCUUUCCUUCGGAAACCUCAAUAAAGGCAGUGGCCUAACUCUUCCCCUAGCUCCUGUCUUCUGCCUCCUGACUACCACGGUGUCUUUCCCAUGUGAACUCAGGUGGCAUUUUGUGCCUCUAGGACCUGGCAGCAUGCAACUGACAAGAAGAACAACAAAGAAGGUAAUCCUUGGAAUUUCUUACAUGGAUUAUUUUCCCAAAAGUCAAGUGAACCUUGGCUGUUUAUUUGAAGAGGAAGACACCAAAAAUUUGAUUGGAGGCUCUGGAUGAGUACCAGAUUCACACCAGAUUUUGAGGUG